rnacentral:lncRNA from 1 species
ACUGCCCUUCCACACAGACAGGAGAGGAGUAAUGGCCAUGGCUGCCCUGGGCCUCUCUCUGCAGGAUGCAGGCAGCUGCCGUCCGGUGGAAGCUCUAAGUUCAGAAAUAAAGGCCAUAACCUGCCGAGCGUAUUUGUAGUAAGAUGCCAUACAAAUUCAAGUGAUCUCUGCACCCAACGUGGGGCUCAAACUCACUACCCUGAGAUCAAGACUCAGUUGCUCUACCGACUGAGCCAGCCAGGCCACCGCCUCCCCUGGCACCAUCUAACUGGGCGUCUCCUGUGACUAUGGUGACUGCUGUGACUCCCUGGGCUCUCUGAGAUAGAAACACCAGGAGAGUAAUUUCCUUCUGGCCUUCUCUCUAGACUCCUCCCAAAUCAAAAGACCCAUAUCGUUCAGAUCUAAGGCUGGGAGGGUAAAGGGGUUGAAAGGUGCUCUGCUUCUGUACAAAUUCCUCAUUCAGCCAGGCUGACCGGCUCCAAAUUUAUUACAAUUUUUGGAAAGAGAUAGUGAAGGAGAGCGGGAGGGAGGCCGUUUGAGAGGCUUUGAGAGAAAAAGAUAAGGAAAAGGAGAGGGAGGGAAAGUGGGACUUUCCCUCUGACUUUUAGAGUUUUAAGAGCAAAUUUUUGUGUGCCCUUUUUAGAAUUCCACACAAUGCUAUUUUUUUUCUUUUUUUACACAAUGCUAAAUUUGAGACAAAAGGUAUAUAGAGUGUAUACGGGGAAUGUCAUUGGGUGAAUGAAGGUCAAAGGUUAUUUAAACGAGGGAGGGAGUUGUUUAUUGGUGGUUACUAAAUCUCUACAGUGUAUUUUUAGAUCUCUCAUUGGAUUGUAAGAUAAGGUGAGGAAAACAGGAUUUCUAAGUAUUGCUUAGCAGCAAUUUAGCAAUCUUUGGGAUAACCAUCAAAAAUUUCCUUGUACCAAGUUAUCUCACUAAGAGUUUUCAAAAUGUGCCCUUGGGUGUUAAGGGAGAGGGGACUGAGUGGUAGGGGGUGGUGCAAGGGUGUCCCAGGUGAGCUGCCCACUCGUGCAGAUUCGGUGUAGCUCUUCCAAGUCUUCUUUGGUGAUGACCAAGGUGGGACCGUUUCCACCACACAGGCAGCAAGCUCCAAAUCAGUGUUUCUGGGAGAGCUUCUCGUCAAAAACAUUUACCAGCAUACCCCUGGAGCAGAUCUCCUUUUAUCUGUAUUUAUAUAGAUAUGGACUGUGGAAAAUACAGCUUUUGAAAAAAAGUUUUGUGGCCCCUUUGAACACCAUGCCUCAGUUGGAUUUUUCUCCCUUCCUUUCUGAGUAAAAUGCAUAGUGAAUAUUAUCCAGAUCUUCCUCAAUUUACGAUGGGGUUUAGUCCUGAUAAACCCAUUGAAGUCGAAAAUGCAUUUAAUGCACCUAAUCUGCUGAGCAUCACAGCUUAGCCUCACCUACCUUAAGCACACUCGAACACUUAGACAGACUGUCCUACCACUGGGCAACAUCCUCUAACAUGAAGCCUAUUUGUGAACAGAGUGUUGCAUGUCUCUUGUAAUUUAUGGACUACUGUGCUGAAAGUGAAAAGCAGGAUGGCUGUGUGGGUACAACCAAAGGUUUUGUAAGGGUGUCAACUGUUUCCUGCCUCGGUGGCGGGGCUGACUGGGAGCUGGGGCUGUGGCCCCCAGCAUCACAAAGGAGUAUCAUACUGCAUGUCACUAGACCCAGAAAAAAAA